rnacentral:rRNA from 1 species
GCAAGUCGAAGCGAGAAGGUUCCUUUUGCUUGCAUUAGGAGCCGGAAAGCGGCGAAAGGGAGAGUAACACGUAGAAACGUACCCCGAGGUUCGGGAUAGCGGCGGGAAACUGCCGGUAAUACUGGAUAAUGUCUUCGGACCAAAGUUUUUCGCCUCGGGAGCGGUCUGCGUCCUAUUAGGUUGUUGGUGGGGUAAUGGCCUACCAAGCCAAUGAUGGGUAGCGGGCGUGAGAGCGUGACCCGUCUCACUGGGACUGAGACACUGCCCAGACACCUACGGGUGGCUGCAGUCGAGAAUCUUCCGCAAUGGACGCAAGUCCGACGGAGCGAUGCCGCGUGCGGGAUGAAGGCCUUCGGGUUGUAAACCGCUGUCAGUGGGGAGGAAAUUUUGACCGAACCGCAGAGGAAGUCCGGGCUAAGUACGUGCCAGCAGCCGCGGUAACACGUACCGGACGAACGUUAUUCGGAAUCACUGGGCUUAAAGAGUGCGUAGGCGGCGUUGUAGGUGAGGUGUGAAAUCCCACGGCUCAACCGUGGAACUGCGCUUCAAACCACAAUGCUUGAGGGAGACAGGGGUGAGCGGAACUGAUGGUGGAGCGGUGAAAUGCGUUGAUAUCAUCAGGAACACCGGUGGCGAAGGCGGCUCACUGGGUCUCUUCUGACGCUGAGGCACGAA